GCCGGAGUGGUGAAAUUGGUAAACGCAGCGGAUUCAAAAUCCGCCGGGGGUGACCCCUUGACGGUUCGAUUCCGUCCUCCGGUA
rnacentral:tRNA from 1 species